rnacentral:lncRNA from 9 species
CAUGUUUAAUGCACCUGGCUUCAAGGCCCAGCGUUGAGCGGAGGGAGAGAGGGAGAAGGAAAAGCCCCGCCAACUCCUCCAGUCCCCGCAACCCAGCGGCACUUGACGUCCCGAGGACCUGCGGCCCACCUCCCCCCACCCCCUACUCCGCCUCGGCCGCCGCCGCACAGUCGCAUCCAGCCCGAGGCUGCGCGGGGAGCCCGCCCCCGCACCCCGCGGAUUGGCCGCGGCGGCCCGCUCGUCACGCUCUUUUGUCUCGAUGGGCCGAGGAUAAAAGCCGCCGCGGCUGCCUUGGGAACCGCGCUGCCUCGACUAGGCUACCCCUCGCUGGGCGGCCGUGCGGAGCAGCUCCGUCGGGCGGUCCCGGGUCGCUUAGCGGCCGAGGAGGCGCCCGUCCUUUCUUCCUGCAGGGCUGCGGAGACCGAGGGCGGAAUCGCAACUGUCAAAGCCGGAGUGUCGGCUGCCCACCGGCGGAGCACAGGCCACCAAAGCCCAAUCCGAACUUGAAUUCUGUGCCGCUGAUUGCAGAGCUGUCUUGACGCCCUGAGGUCCCCGGAUCGUCGACCCCCGGUGGACGGAGAUCGACUGUACCCCAGAGGCGAGCUUUUUCACGGAGGCCACCGGUUGCCGAAGCAGGAAGAGAAAUAAAGGCGCGCGCCUGUUCCUGAGCUCCUCUCCUACUGAGAUAAGGGAAGGCAGAGCUUCGCCCUGCUCUCCGCCAGCUCCAGCACGCCUGCAGAUUAGGCUCUUCCCCAAAGCCUGAGCAUCUUGUUAUACUCAGAUACCCGGUCGCCGUCCGUGAUGGCGAGCAUCAUUGCGCGCGUGGGUAGCAGCCGGCGGCAGAACGCACCCUUGCCGCCUUGGGCCCAUUCUAUGCUAAGGUCGCUAGAGAGGAGUCUUGGUCCUCUAAUGGCCAACAUGGCAGAGAGAAACAUGAAGUUGUUCUCGGGGAGGGUGGUGCCAGCCCAGGGGGAAGAAACCUUUGAAAACUGGCUGAUCCAAGUCAAUGGGGUCCUGCCAGACUGGAAUAUGUCUGAGGAGGAAAAGCUCAAGCGCUUGCUGAAAACCCUGAGGGGCCCCGCCAGGGAGGUCAUGCGUUUGCUGCAGGCGGCCAACCCCAACCUAAGUGUGGCAGAUUUCUUGCACGCCAUGAAAUUGGUGUUUGGGGAGUCUGAAAGCAGCGUCACUGCCCACGGUAGAUUUUUUAACACCUUGCAGGCGCAAGGGGAGAAAGCCUCCCUUUAUGUGAUCCGUUUAGAGGUGCAGCUCCAGAAUGCUAUUCAGGCAGGGAUCAUAGCUCAGAAAGAUGCAAACCAGACUCGCUUGCACCAGCUCCUUUUGGGGGCUGAGCUGAAUGGGGACCUGCGCUUCAGGCUCAAGAAUCUUCUUAGGAUGUAUGCAAAUGAGCAGGAGCGUCUCCCCAAUUUCCUGGAGUUGAUCAGAAUGAUAAGGGAGGAAGAGGAUUGGGAUGACACUUUCAUUAAACGGAAGCGGGCCAAGAGAUCUGAGUCAGUGGUGGAGAGGGCAACUAGCCCAGUGGCAUUUCAGGGCUCCCCACCCAUAGUGAUUGGCAAUGCCGACUGCAACGUGAUAGAGAUAGAGGAUACCCCCGAUGACGACUCGGAUGAGGACGUGAUCUGGUGGAGUCUCAGGACCCCCCACUUUCCUUCUCAGGUUCUCCUCCCCCCAGGCGCAGAGCCAGACCCCUGGAUCCAGUGCUAGUCAUUGAUUCCCCCGACAAUUCUCAGGCUCAAUCGCCUUCCACCAGCAGGGGGUCUGGGUCUAAGAAUGACGGUCCCGGGGAUAUGCGUAGAACCCGGAAGCGAAAAUACACCAUCCGCUGUUCCUAUUGUGGUGAGGAGGGCCACUCAAAGGAAACCUGUGACAAUGAGAGCAACAGGGCCCAGGUGUUUGAGAAUCUGAUCAUCACCCUGCAGGAGCUGACACACACUGAGGAGGAAGGGCCGAGAGAGGCCCCUGCUGAGCCCACUUUAAAAGACCCCUAACCUAUAUUCAGAAUCCAGCAAGGAGAAACAUGGGGGGGGGGUGCUUCUAACUGCAUGAAUUAAUCCACAAAGCGGCUUUCUUUCGGGCGGAGGAGAAGAGGUCCUGAAUAUUAGUGGAGGGAGAUGGCCUGACCUCCAGCCUCGCUUCCAGUCCCUGCUGCCUAAGGGUCUACCUUCUGUGUGUCCUCGAUGGCUGUAUUAUCUUUGUGAAAGUGGUAUAAUUCAUUGUGAAAUACUACAAACAACAAAGACAAGUACAAAAAGUACAAAUUACCCAAAACCCUCCAGCCCUUAUAUAACCAUGGUCAACCCUUUGGUGAAGGUCCUUCUAGAUAUUUCCCUACCCCUAUGUACCCAGAUAGAUAUAUGUACAGAUACAAGUGAUCAAAUAUAAGUGUUGUUCUAAAGUCUGUAUUUUUUCACCAAAUAAUAUAUGUCGUGGGCUUCUUUCUAUGUCAAUAAAUCUAUAUCAGCAU